rnacentral:misc_RNA from 1 species
CACGGAAGGCAAUAACCAGAGCUACAGCGAAACAGCUCGGGGGUACUCAUUGGAGGAAUACACCUUUUAAGCUCAUUUCUUUGUCAGCUUAAGGUAGGUUGUGAAAUUUCUUGACUGUAUACCGUCUUUUCCGUGUGAAAAACCGCCAUUCCAAAUUUGGUACGGCGGGUUUUUUCUUAUUAUGCUGCAAGUAGAGUCCUUUGUUCCGGUUUACAAGAACAAAACCGCCGUACAUAUAUAGCAUUUUAGUUUUAACAGCCGUAAAAUUGUUUACUUUACCUGGAUUCAUUUAAGGCUUCGGUCUUUUAAGCCGUAUUAUUCGGGGACAUUAAAUCCGCAGCUGCUCAAUGAAAGAUGGUGUUCCACGUGUUGUUGUUUCACAAUCCACUGACAUUUAUAACAAAGCUCUCCUCCUCUGCAGGUAAGUUAGCCAAGCUCUCGAACAGUGCUACACUGCAAAAGAAAUACUUUUGCUAUCAAUCAUUUUAUAGUCAAAAAAGGGGUAAGUCCGAACAUGCUUUUUGGAAUAGCGUCGGGUCAUGGAUAUAAAGUGAGUACUCAUUUUGGCGUAUUCCGAAUAUAAUUAGUACAUGAAUACUUUAAAAUCUCGAUAUUCCAAAUCUUCUUUAUGCAUUAUCACCAAUUUAACACGGUGCUUUUUUCUCAAGAGUUUUGUAAUGGAGUCCAGAACCAAUAAUAUUAAUCUUUACAGUUAGCCGGUUAGCCGAGUUUGUUCUUGUUUUCUAAAGGGUGGACAUGACAUUUUCGAUCAACAUAAUAAAAUAAACCUGAAUAUAUAUAAGAAAUCAAUAAUGUCUCAUCGCUCCUUGAGGAUCAUAUAGUAUCAACCAACGUACUUCCAGACCUCUAAAAUUUAUGAUGGAUGUCUCGCAAGCGCGUAAUGUUUUUCGUCGUUGCUGUUGUUGUUCUGCGUGUUGGGUUAUUGCCGGUCCAAGAGCACAACAAACCCUGCUUAUUUCACAUCCUAGGCUUGGAACCAGGCAAUAGCAAAGUUAAAAGAACAAAACCUCACUCGAUAAUUAGAAAUAUCUUCUUUUUUAACUAGAAGAUAACAUGUAUUCGCUCCCUUGCACCCACAGCUCAGCAUGGAAAUACAACUCGUGAUAUUGCUGUUAGUUAUUGAAACAGUUACUGUGUUUGGAAAGCCAGCUGUCGAGGAUGAAGCUGGAAGCUGUGAUGUGGAUCCCAGUUACCGAUACGAAUGCGGAUGGCUUGGAAUAGAUAAAGAAACCUGUUUGAAGAGAGACUGCUGCUGGGACGACAGUGAUCCAAAUGCAAAGUUCUGCUUCGUAAGAAAAUACAAACAUCUUCCUGACGGACUCUGCCCUGUUGCUCCUUCUGAGCGCAAAGAAUGUGGUUAUUACGGAAUAACAAUGGAGGAAUGUUUGGCUAAAUCUUGUUGUUGGGACCCGACAGUUCCUAACACUAAGUGGUGCUUUAAACAGCCGGGUGAGUAUAGAAGAAAGAAAGGUUUUCCUUUGGAUGUCGACAAAUGUCGCUUUUACUCAUACACAAGAAAACAGAUCACAAUAAAAAUCAUAUCUGGUAGUUUCCCAGGAGUAUAUUGUGUCUGGAUUUAUGGAAAGGAUGUUAAUGAAAUUUUACCCUGAUGUAUGCUUUUUUUAUUGACCAUUUCCAAAGAAGACGAAAUAAAAAUUCAAAGGAAUGUUGGUUUCUCUUUUGCUCCAAGGCCCUCAUCUUCCUUUUCUCGAAUUUAAUUUCUUUCUGUUAAUGGCUUGGAGUUAGGAGUAGUGAAAUCUCAUGUAGUGCAAAGGGACGCACUCUUUUCUUAAAACCAGUCAUUACAAUAAAUGGCCUUUUAGGAAUACUAAAUGGGAUAAGAAUUUUUUUUAAGUACGGACCAGAUCGGAGUGGAGGAAACUAGUAGCAAUUAGGAAUAGUAAAAAGGAAAAACUCUAAACUUGAUGCAUGUCUGAAAAAUUGUUUUCUUUCCAUAAAACAAUUGACCAAUAUUUUAUUCAUCUAGAGGAAGAGCAACUUGGGUGUUACAUUUACCAUGGCGUGAGCGGAAAAUGCAAGUACGUGUGUGAUCCGGGCGAGCGAAAAAACUAUGGAAUGUUUCAAUGCAAGGGACGAAUCUGCUGUGUUCAAUAGUGUACACCGCAGAGGAGCCGACCCGCCUAGCAAUGCCGUGGGAAGAAGUUACAGAGAGAGGGCUUUAAUGUAGUAAAGUACAUCGAUAUAGAGAUAUGCAAAGCAUGCAUGGCUGUGAAAAUAAAAGAGUUACCUUGAACUGAAUCCUAUCCGUUUCAGUUAUACUCAAUGGGAUGUUUUAAACAGUACGCUCCUGUUGUUGGUUGUUUUAUUUGAUGAUUAACAUCCCCAGUUUCAGAUCAAAUAAUUACAUUGCACCUCCUUAUUGCACCCAUCAAAACAGGUUGCCUCAGUUUUACUUUGCGCUCAGCUCGCCUCUCCACCAAACCACCAAGAAUAGAGUCCAA